rnacentral:tRNA from 1 species
GGAGGUAUGGCUCAGUGGUAGAGCACCUUCCUGGCAUACACAAGGUCCUGGGUUCAAUCCCCAGUACCUCCA